CAGAAACUAGGAGAUUUUAACUCCUACUUGGGGCUUUGAAGGUCCCUGGUCUUUUAUCCUAAGUUUCU
rnacentral:tRNA from 1 species